GCCGGGUGCUGUGGUGCACACUUGUAAUCCCAGUGGCUUGGGAGGCUGAGACAGGAGGAUCAUGAGUUCAAAGUCAGCCUCAGCAAUUUAGGGAGGCCCUAAGCAACUCAGUGAGACCCCGUCUCUA
rnacentral:sRNA from 1 species